UGUUGUUAAAGAAGAACGUGGGUAAGAGUAACUGUUUACCCAGUGACGGUAUUUAACCAGAAAGCCCGGCUAACUACGUGCCAGCAGCCGCGGUAAUACGUAGGUGGCAAGCGUUAUCCGGAUUAUUGGGCGUAAAGCGAGCGCAGGCGGUCUUUAAGUCUAAUGUGAAAGCCUUCGGCUCAACCGAAGAAGUGCAUUGGAAACUGGGAGACUUGAGUGCAGAAGAGGACAGUGGAACUCCAUGUGUAGCGGUGAAAUGCGUAGAUAUAUGGAAGAACACCAGUGGCGAAGGCGGCUGUCUGGUCUGCAACUGACGCUGAGGCUCGAAAGCAUGGGUAGCGAACAGGAUUAGAUACCCUGGUAGUCCAUGCCGUAAACGAUGAUUACUAAGUGUUGGAGGGUUUCCGCCCUUCAGUGCUGCAGCUAACGCAUUAAGUAAUCCGCCUGGGGAGUACGACCGCAAGGUUGAAACUCAAAAGAAUUGACGGGGGCCCGCACAAGCGGUGGAGCAUGUGGUUUAAUUCGAAGCUACGCGAAGAACCUUACCAGGUCUUGACAUCUUCUGACAGUCUAAGAGAUUAGAGGUUCCCUUCGGGGACAGAAUGACAGGUGGUGCAUGGUUGUCGUCAGCUCGUGUCGUGAGAUGUUGGGUUAAGUCCCGCAACGAGCGCAACCCUUAUUACUAGUUGCCAGCAUUAAGUUGGGCACUCUAGUGAGACUGCCGGUGACAAACCGGAGGAAGGUGGGGACGACGUCAAAUCAUCAUGCCCCUUAUGACCUGGGCUACACACGUGCUACAAUGGAUGGUACAACGAGUUGCGAGACCGCGAGGUUAAGCUAAUCUCUUAAAACCAUUCUCAGUUCGGACUGUAGGCUGCAACUCGCCUACACGAAGUCGGAAUCGCUAGUAAUCGCGGAUCAGCAUGCCGCGGUGAAUACGUUCCCGGGCCUUGUACACACCGCCCGUCACACCAUGAGAGUUUGUAACACCCAAAGCCGGUGGGGUAACCUUUUAGGAGCUAGCCGUCUAAGGGGGGACAGAUGUUAGGGA
rnacentral:rRNA from 1 species